UACGGGGGGGGCAAGCGUUGUUCGGAAUUACUGGGCGUAAAGGGCUCGUAGGCGGCCAACUAAGUCGGAUGUGAAAUCCCCAGGCUCAACCUGGGAACUGCAUCCGAUACUGGAUGGCUUGAAUUCGGGAGAGGGAUGCAGAAUUCCAGGUGUAGCGGUGAAAUGCGUAGAUAUCUGGAGGAAUACCGGUGGCGAAGGCGGCAUCCUGGACCGACAUUGACGCUGAUGAGCGAAAGCUAGGGAAGCAAACGGG
rnacentral:rRNA from 1 species